rnacentral:rRNA from 1 species
UACGUAGGGCGCAAGCGUUAUCCGGAAUUAUUGGGCGUAAAGAGCUCGUAGGCGGUUUGUCGCGUCUGCCGUGAAAGUCCGGGGCUCAACUCCGGAUCUGCGGUGGGUACGGGCAGACUAGAGUGAUGUAGGGGAGACUGGAAUUCCUGGUGUAGCGGUGAAAUGCGCAGAUAUCGGGAGGAACACCGGUGGCGAAGGCGGUUCUCUGGGCCUUACCUGACACUGAGGAGCGAAAGCGUGGGGAGCGAACAGG